rnacentral:lncRNA from 1 species
UAGCCUGCGGGAACUGAGAGAAAACCCCAACUGGCAGCCAGCAAGAAAACAGGGACCUUAAUCUUACGACCACAAGGAACUGGACUCUGCUACCAGAAUGAGCUGCAAGGGAGAUUCUUCCUCAGAAGCUUCAGAUAAGAACUCCACCUGGCUGACCUUUGAUUUUGGUUUUGUGAGAACUUUGGCAGAUAACCCAACAAGAAGCAUUGGGAUAGUCAGAAGAUCUACAGGAAGAUGGGCAUGUGUCAUUUCACAUCUGCAUAAAAAGACAUGCUGAAGGAUGUUCCUUGCAGAAUGGUUAUAGAGAAAAAUGGGAAUAACCACGAUAUAAAGUAACAGGUAAAUAGAUACAUAUAGUAUACUUAUAAAAUGAACUAUAUUGCUGUAAGUAAAAGAAAUGAACUGGAAUGCUAAGUAGGAACACUGGCUCUUAAAACAC